UCAUAUUCUAGUCAUCUAGUGAGAACAAGAUCCAUGUCUUACGCAGGAAUCUCCCAAAGAUAUAUUCUCACAAAGACCAAAGAAUAUGAUACUAUUUAAUUGAGCUCCUUCCUGUCCAUUAGUUUGAAGGCCACAGGAUUCCAUGCAGGAAUCUCCUUGCUUAGUUGGUGGUGUCCAUUUGCACAGGCUGGCCUUAAAAUA
rnacentral:lncRNA from 1 species